UCUCAUUUACUCACUGAUUCCAGGCUCUGGUUUAUUCAAGCUGAGAUCAAUCUACUUCUGAGCUUAAACAAUCAUCACAUCACAUAAAUCGGUGCCUCUAGCUACACACUCGACAUGUUCGUAUUUUCAUCAUCAGUCUAAUUGAUUCUACUCCCCCCCUCCUUUUUUUAAAACUGCAUUAAUAAAUGAGAUUACUGGGUGUGUUGAAGACGGGCUGCAGCCAAAGAGCAAAAAAACAGUCUCGAUAAAAUCAUCUUCCUGAAGACGCGUGCGUUUACAGCUCACUGAGAGGCCACGGAAUCAGGCGUGAUGCAAAGGCAGUAAAUUGAAUCAAUUCGCUCGCCUCUAAAUAGACGUGAUGCACGACGCCUGGAUGAUCAGAGGGAUGAGGAGGAAUUUUUCCUGUUUAAUGAUGUUGUUUUGUUUGUGCAUUUCUUCUCCUCUGCCUGAUAAAGGUUCCAGAAGAUCUGGCGUAAAGAGGAAGAGAGACAUCAGAUAACGCGGCGGCGAGGAGCGAAGUGUCACAUGACCUCCUGGGUGCAAACACCGGGGAUGAAGUGACAGGCAGUGGUUGACUAGAGAAACCGCACGUUCUCGAUGAAGAAUUCUUCGGGAGAGAGUUCACCUUUCAUGAUGGGGAAACUAUGGGACCCGUUGGCGCAGAUGGACCAGAAGAAGCUCUGCCCUGAUGAAACGUUCGUGAAUCAACUGAAGUUCGCUGUAGAAGUCGACCGACACUGACAGUCUGAGCCGCCGUGGCUGUGGGACCUCAACGAAUCUAGUCGAGAAGAUGUCGGCUGCGAAUCUGCUGGAGGAACGGUGCUAAAGCCCCGCCACAGAGAACAGCCGGUGAGUCAGAAACAGGGCUGGGAGGCAUCACUGUGGCUCAGUUCUGAGCCAGAGAGCUGCUUAACAAUGGCACAGCAUCAGUGUGAGGAACCAAGUGUCGGUUCUACCAGGUGUUCUGUGCCAGUGGAGUCCUGCUCGGCUGGAACUUUAAAAAAAAAAACGAAGCUCAACGACAUCUUGACGUGAGCUGAGGUGGACACAGGCGUUAGACCAACAACCUCGUAUUAGGAUGAUAUAUUUGCAAGAGAACAUGUUUUCGGUAGUACCUGGUCUAGUUGUUCCCAAAGAGGGGGGUGGGCCCCGUUGUGGGGGCGUGGAGUGAGUAGAGUAGGAGACCAAGUAAUUCCAAUUUGAUUCUUUUCUUUAUUUGUGCCACAGUUUGGA